rnacentral:rRNA from 1 species
UUUGCCUACGGGAGGCAGCAGUGAGGAAUAUUGGUCAAUGGACGGAAGUCUGAACCAGCCAUGCCGCGUGCAGGAAGACGGCUCUAUGAGUUGUAAACUGCUUUUGUACAAGGGUAAACCUGAAUACGUGUAUUCAGCUGAAAGUACUGUACGAAUAAGGAUCGGCUAACUCCGUGCCAGCAGCCGCGGUAAUACGGAGGAUGCGAGCGUUAUCCGGAUUUAUUGGGUUUAAAGGGUGCGUAGGCGGAUUUUUAAGUCAGCGGUAAAAUGUCCGGGCUCAACCCGGGCCGGCCGUUGAAACUGGG